rnacentral:rRNA from 1 species
UACGUAGGGUGCAAGCGUUGUUCGGAAUUAUUGGGCGUAAAGCGCGUGUAGGUUGUUAUGUAAGUAGAGUGUGAAAUCCCUGGGCUCAACCGAGGAAGUGCACUCUAAACUACAUGACUAGAGGGAAGUAGAGGAAGGUGGAAUUCCAAGUGUAGAGGUGAAAUUCGUAGAUAUUUGGAGGAAUACCGGUGGCGAAGGCGACCUUCUGGGCUUCUCCUGACACUGAGACGCGAAAGCAUGGGUAGCAAACAGG